GAUCAUUACUGAUUUGCUUAAUUGCACCACAUGUGUUUUUCUUUGAAACAAACUUGCUUUGGCGGUGGGCCCAGCCUGCCGCCAGAGGUCUAAACUUACAACCAAUUUUUUAUCAACUUGUCACACCAGAUUAUUACUAAUAGUCAAAACUUUCAACAACGGAUCUCUUGGUUCUCGCAUCGAUGAAGAACGCAGCGAAAUGCGAUACGUAAUAUGAAUUGCAGAUAUUCGUGAAUCAUCGAAUCUUUGAACGCACAUUGCGCCCUCUGGUAUUCCGGAGGGCAUGCCUGUUUGAGCGUCGUUUCUCCCUCAAACCGCUGGGUUUGGUGUUGAGCAAUACGACUUGGGUUUGCUUGAAAGACGGUAGUGGUAAGGCGGGAUCGCUUUGACAAUGGCUUAGGUCUAACCAAAAACAUUGCUUGCGGCGGUAACGUCUACCACGUAUAUCUUCAAACCUU
rnacentral:misc_RNA from 1 species